ensembl:lncRNA
GGUGGUUAUUAAUUUGACCCAUUUUUUAACUCUGGCAUAAACAAAAAUGUCACGUCGAGUCAAUGAUGAGGAUGAAAAUAGAAAGCAACGUCUUUUCUGUUAUUCCUUUCAUCUUUUGAAAUAGGUAUGCAGACAUUCCUCUUCUUCCAGCAGUUUUUUAUUUCAUUAAAGACGACCUCGAUAAUCCCCUUGGAGUUGCGUCAGUGCAUCGGCAGGAAGACUCCGCAUGACAUCAUGUGCCCAUUACCAAGUCCCCGACUCAAGGAUGGUCAUUGUGCAGUGGCUAAUGACCAGUGAGGGUUUCUUUAAAUCCAGCCAUGAUGGAUUACAUUAGUGAGUAAGAUGGGCUGCUGGUGGCUCCGUUUGAUUGGUCAAGGUGAUGGAGCUCCCAGACCCCCCGGAGCUCUCUGACUCCCUGAGUCCCGAGGGUGCAGCAGCACACUGGGACCUGACCGUCCCUCUAAAGGUGUUAUAUACACAUGUGUGCUUCCUCUAAAGGUGUUAUAAAUACACAUGUGUGUUUCCUCUAAUCACAUAUUUCACUUACAGUCUGAAAAAUGUGAAGACCUGGGAACUGAAUCUGUGGUAUUUUAAAAGAUUAUAACUGAAAUAUUAACAUUCUUCAUAAAGUACAGCACAGCAUACACAUUUCUAGAAUAACUAAAAGCCCUUUAGAGGGCACAGAGGCUGAGUGAAUCACAAGUCCGUGCUGAAUAGAGGAUGCUGUCUUCAUUCUCUCCUCAGCUCCUGCAAUCCCUGUGUUACAGCCAGAAGAAAUAUGUAGCAUUUUUGCUUCUUCUCAUCUCCAUGCACUAAUUCAGCGACAGCUCUUACAAAAGGAAGCUCUGAAUGAUCACAUUCUCUGGGCCAGAGGGGGUUUCCAAGGCUUGGGAUUGGAACUGAAGCUGCAGAAAUGACAAUAGGAACACAUAGAACACAUACACUGCUCUUAAAAUAGCAAGCUAAUGCUAAUGCCAUUGUUUUGAUAGAGAGCUGCAGCUCCUUGGCACAGUGGUGGGCUGGAGGUAAAUUAAAUUAGGUCCCCUGUGUACACAAACACACACACACACACACACACACACACACACACACA